rnacentral:lncRNA from 1 species
UGUCAGGUCAUUAAAGAUUGCAUAUUUUGGCGUUAAUAUUGAUUCACUUAUAGGGUCUUUGCAUCGGAACUAAACACAUUUAUUCAAAAACCAGUUGUUGGCAUGACACGGGUUAUGAUCUUCUCAUAUAUGUUAUGAUGGUAUGAUACUAAACCCCUAACGGGAAGGAUUGUGCCUGAUGUUCAUAUGAUGAAAUCAUAAUCUUUCAGUCAGUUUAAUUGAAGUCUGGAGCUGGCAUGUCAGUUAACUGCUAGUAGUCUGUUGUUAUUUAUGUAUUAUUGUCAUUUUGUUU